GGGUGUUUCAUCAUGAUCAUUGCUUCAAUGGGAUUUCUUGGUGGGCUAUGACUAUAAUGAGCUUGGAAAAACAAUUGAGAGAGAGAGAGAGAGUGAGAGAGAGCAAAGCUGAGAUUCUUCAAUUCUCACUUGCACUCUGCCCAUUUGUCACAUUCACCCAACAUUUCUUCUUGCUUCCAGUUUUUCCCAACUCAUCAAAUACUCCUAAAUAUCAAUAUACCGGCCUAUACACAGAAACCAAAUUGGUUGGAGAUUUAAUCGCUCCUUUCUUCUUCUUCACUGAAAUUAACCUCCUCACCCACCGCCUUCAUCGUCGUCGUCGGUUUCUCCAGCUUAAAGCCUCCGCCUUUAUCCCCCAAAUUGGAUUUUUUUUUCUUUUUUCUUUUGGCUUUCUGAAUCUGUGAGAACGGAGCCAAGGGAUUAAAACAAAACCCAAAUUAAAUUCACAAAGACUUAAAAUCAUGGACGGUGAUUCAUGGAGUGCUCGUCUUUCCACCGCUUCAAAGCGCUACCAAUCCACUCUUCAAUCUCGAUCUGAUAUGUUCAUGGGAUUUGAAGAAAUUCAUGGGGAUGACGAUGUAAGGGAGGGAUUUCCAUGCCCAUUUUGCUCAGAAUACUAGGAUAUUGUAGGAUUGUGCCCAGUUUGUUCAUUGAGGGUGGGGAUUGAUAUGGUUCACACAUUACCUCGCAGCAGCCGUCACCACCACCUGAGAAGAAAAGAAAACCCGUCGGUGCAUCGCCAUCACUAUGGCCCGUUCGACGAGGCUAGAAGCCACCGUCGUAGCGGAGGCGCUGCAGGACAACCCCGUACGCCCAGCUCCUCGCCAUCUCCCACACCACAGUUCCUUGCUGUCUUCGACGAAACUUCAACGAAAUUAAGGUUCUGGGAGAUCGAUUUGGGGGAAAACGAUUAGGUUCAAGUGAAGGGACGAAAAUACCCUUCAAAAGUUAACGGAAUUAACGUUGUAACUGUUCCUAGGUAUGAAUAUUGGGUCGAAUUUCAAUCCUCAGAUAUCAUUUUGAUAUUUUUUAAAAUUUAGAUAUGAAAAUUAAUAGUCUGGAAAAGUUCAGACACUGUUUAGACGAUUUUCCCUAAAAAUAAAUAAGAGGAAACCAGGAGUGAACAGCAGUCAUCUCCUUUCUGCUCUCUAGAGUCUGAAGGAAAACAAGAGGGUGCAAAAUCAAUGAGGGCCAUCCGUUAAACACUUAUUACUGUAUGCCAUGGCCAAAUUGAUUGCCAAGUCGGUUGCUUCAACUCGAUCGAUAUCAACCUCCACUCCUCUCUCUCAGAGACUUAAUCAAACAGAAAAUGAGAUAGUUAAGAUGUUCCGGUUGCCUAAUGCAUCGGACAGCUUUCCCAUGAGUAGAAAUAUGCCAGGGAAGGACCCUUCUGUGAGGACAUUGGAUGACAGGUUCACAAAGAUUUUGAAAAUUUUCAAGUGGGGGCCUGAUGCCGAAAAGGCCUUGGAAGUGCUGAAGCUGAGAGUGGAUCAUAGGUUGGUUCUCGCGGUUCUCAAGAUUGAUGUCGAGGCCAUUGUUAAGGUUAAGUUUUUCAAGUGGGUUGGGAAGAGAAGGAAUUUCCAACACAAUUCAACCACAUAUAUGGGGUUGAUCCGUUGCUUGGACGAGGCUGGUAUGGUUGGUGAAAUGUGGAAAGCCAUUCAGGAGAUGGUUCGAAGUGCACGUGUUAUCGAUCCAGCUGAAUUGUCUGAGAUUAUAAGAAUCUUGGGAAGGGCUAAGAUGGUAAACAAGGCACUAUCUGUCUUCUACCAAAUCAAAGGCCACAACUGCACCCCAACAGCUCAUAGUUACAACUCCAUGAUCUUAAUGCUGAUGCAAGAAGGUCAUCAUGAAAAGGUCCAUGAGCUCUAUAAUGAGAUGUGUAAUGAGAGUAACUGUUUCCCGGACACAGUCACAUACAGUGCACUAAUAUCUGCAUUUGGGAAAUUGGGUCGUGAUGAUUCUGCAAUUAGGUUGUUUGAUGAGAUGAAGGAUAACGGUUUACAUCCAACUGCAAAGAUUUAUACUACCCUAUUGGCAAUCUUUUUCAAGUUGGGCAAGGUUGAGAAAGCUUUAAGUCUAGUUCAGGAGAUGAAAGAGAAUGGGUGUCCGCCUACUGUUUUUACUUACACUGAAUUGAUAAAGGGGCUAGGGAAAGCUGGGAGGGUUGAAGAUGCUUAUGUCAUGUACAAAAACAUGCUGAAGGAGGGUUGUAAGCCUGAUGUUGUGCUCAUGAACAAUUUGAUAAACAUUUUGGGAAAGGAAGGUCGCAUAGAAAAUGCUAUUAAUCUUUUCAAUGAGAUGGACAUUUUGCGUUGCACACCUAAUGUGGUGACUUAUAACACGAUAAUUAAAGCUUUAUUUGAUUCCAAAGCUCCAGCUUCGGUUGCAGCUUCAUGGUUUGAGAAGAUGAAAGUGAAUGGUGUUAUUCCGAGCUCUUUUACCUAUUCGAUUCUGAUAGAUGGUUUUUGCAAAACAAAUAGAGUUGAGAAAGCUUUGUUGCUUCUUGAAGAGAUGGAUGAAAAGGGGUUCCCCCCUUGUCCAGCUGCGUAUUGCAGCCUGAUCAACAGUCUUGGAAAAGCAAAGCGGUAUGAAGCUGCAAAUGAGUUAUUUCAAGAAUUGAAAGAAAACUGUGGACAUGCAAGUGCUAGAGUAUAUGCCGUGAUGAUUAAACAUUUCGGAAAAUGUGGGCGUCUUGAUGAAGCUCUGGAUCUUUUUCACGAGAUGAAGAAACUUGGAUGCAAUCCGGAUGUAUAUACUUAUAAUGCCCUCAUGUCAGGGAUGGUCAGGGCUGGUAUGAUAGAUGAGGCACUUUCCUUGCUUAAAACCAUGGAAGAAAGGGGCUGUGUUGCAGACAUAAACUCACAAAACAUCAUUUUAAAUGGCUUGGCUAGGGCAGGUGGCCCAAAGAGGGCUUUAGAAAUGUUUUCAAAGAUGAAGCAUUCCAAGAUUCAACCAGAUGCAGUUUCUUAUAACACUAUUCUUGGUUGUCUCAGUCGAGCUGGCUUGCUUGAAGAGGCUGCAAAGCUGAUGAAAGAGAUGACUUCAAAAGGUUUUCAAUAUGAUCUCAUCACCUACUCAUCAAUACUUGAGGCAGUCGGCAAGGUUGAUGAAGCUCAUAUGACUUCCUUAAGGGGAUCUGGAAACACGCUCUCUUAAAUCCCAGUGGCAUGUCAUCUGUCCUGGUCGACAACCUAGUAACCUUUCUUUUAGAUCAAAACCUGGUAAAGCUGAGGGCCUGCCGUUCACACAAGUGAUUGCAAUCCAAGGAAUAUUGAUGAUUACAUUGGUUGACUCAGCAACUUAACAAAUAUGCCCGCCCCCAUUUUAAAUAAUCAUUAACUACUUGGCUUUAUAAGGCACUUCCUUUUAACGUGCCUUUGGGGCUCUGUGGAUGCAGAGCCUCAGUUCCACAGUCCAACUCUAGAGGCACUGCUGAUGGUAACGCCUAACGCUGCCUUCAUGCUAGCAGCCUUUAUGUACUCUUAGUGUGGAGUAAGUGAUAAUCAAAUUUGUAAUGAUGGGUGGCAUGAGAAGAUUGACAAGUGAGUUAGGAUCAAGAUGUUGAUAGAGUUCUUGAAAAAGGUGCCCAGGAGAACUAUGAGUGCAAGUGGGUGCGUCGCCAGGGGGUGGUGCUUUGCAAUGUGCAAUUCUUAGUCGAACCUUCAAAGUCCAAGAGUUUCAGCUUUCAGAAGAGGAGGAAGUUGAGGUUCCUGUCCCAAAAGAGCAUCCAAAGGAGGCUACUAAGAUGGAGAGUCUUGAGACCCCCAGCGAUGUGGCUCCCCAACUGCUGAUGAGGUAGAUGUAAUCAAGAUGCUGAGGGUCCUGCUUAUGCUCGGUGCUGAAAAUUGUGUUCCCGAAUCAGGAGACAAGCCUAUGCAGAUGGAAACAGAUACUAAGGUCAGUAGUCUUUUGUAAAGUUAGCUUAUGGAGGAAUGGCUCCAGCUGAUGUGCAGAAGGCAAUAGAAACGAGUAUGAGAGGGCUUUAGAAGAUCAUGUUAUGGAAGAAACAAAAGACGUGAAAACAAGGAUCUUGGUUUUUGUAAAUAGUUGAAUAUGUACUGAAGUGAUUUGAAAAAGUUGCAAGAAUGAAGCAAAUUCCAACUAUUCAGUCGGAAGUCUUUCUUCUUACAUAUUGGCAAAUGUUACCAUGAUUUUCCAGCAACACAUAUGAAGCCUGAGAUACAGACCUACUUCUGUUUAAGUGGCUUUAGUUCUUAGAAAGAGAGCAAGUCCACAAACAUGGAAUCCUAUGAAGAUUGUUACUCUGAUUAAUCAUGAGUAUUGACAUGAUCCUUCUAUAAAGCAAAGAAAUGUAUCAGUGAUAACUAGGAGGCUUGUCAGUGGCGUGGUGUUUUCAUUGCAACAUAUUAAUGGCUUACACAGGGCUCCAGUCAUCUCUAGAACCUAUAUAUGGUUUUAUAUUAUAAUUGGAACAAAGAGCUGAAAUAAGACCUUUUCAGUCAAGACUGGGAUCUAUGACGGGCAAUGUUUGAUUUGGGAGGCUCGCGCCUCACUUGAAAGAAAUGGUAGGAUUUGCCGCCUAAGAUUAGCCCAAAAUAUGAGCCUUUCUCGAGUCCCCGGUAUUCGAGCUACAUUGUUAGAUAUGGGACCGGGUCAAGGAAAUUCUGAAGUAUAUCAUGAUUCCAAAUUGACAUGAAUCAGAAGAAUUAUCACAUGUAAUGAUUGUAGGAGGCAAGCAAAGGACGUGCUAUGAAACAAGACAAGCUGACAUCCAACGUGAAGAGCUUGAGAGUUCCAAAGUGUUGUGUUGUGUAGGUGGAAGCUGGAGUCAGUUCACAGUGUGAAGACAUCUUUGAUUUGCAGAUGCAGCAUCAGUAGAUGGAAGUCCACUUUGAAGGAAGAGUUUCUAAUGCGCAUGACAAUUAGCUCAGAACAUCAGUCGGUCCAAGCAACCACAUUGUUGAUUCAAAUGGUGGCAAUGUGCUGCAAGAGGAUUACUACCACACUUGCAAACUUAUAUUUUGGGAUGAUCAUCAACAUAAGUUGGCUAGUAUCGAGUAUGUCCUCUUUUGUGUUGGUUCAUGCAGAGGACAUUAACAUGGAAUUAUAAUUUUUGUCUUUGGAUUACUGAAAUUGCUGGACUGCUACGCCCUUUUGUUGUUGAAUACCCGACGGCCUAGUGUUGGCUUUUCAUGGAAGCGGAUUUAUGAUUGUAAAUUUGUCCGACAAUUACAAUUAUGAAGUUACCCUUUAUUGUUAUGAAU